UACGAAGGGGGCUAGCGUUGCUCGGAAUCACUGGGCGUAAAGCGAGUGUAGGCGGUCCGAUAAGUCGGGUGUGAAAGCCCUGGGCUCAACCCAGGAAGUGCACUCGAAACUACCGGGCUAGAGUAUCGGAGAGGUUGGUGGAAUUCUCGGUGUAGAGGUGAAAUUCGUAGAUAUCGAGAGGAACACCGGUGGCGAAGGCGGUUCUCUGGGCCUUACCUGACGCUGAGGAGCGAAAGCGUGGGGAGCGAACAGG
rnacentral:rRNA from 1 species